rnacentral:lncRNA from 1 species
GAUUUUUUUCUUGAGUUUUUUUUCCUGGAAUGGAAAGAAGGGAGACCCCGGGUGGGAUUUCAGUCAGCUCGCCCAUCUCUUCUCAGAGAUGGCUGGCAUCCUUGAAAUUUUAAGACAAUUCCCAUACACUGAAGAAAACCAUAUGAAAAUAUUUCAAGAGCAUUUCCUCUUUUCAGCAGGUGUGUCUCAAGGACUGAGAGUUCCCUGUGGUUUUGCAUUGCGGAUGCCAGCCUUUGUCAAGUUCUCUGUGCUUCACUGCACACUUUAUCUCAGGGUUGUGUGGAUUCUCAGAAGCUCCCCAGUCCCGGUCCGCUGGUGGAAGCUCCGGUCACGAUGAGUGUCAGGUGCUGCCUGGGGUAGAAACCAGUGACUACAAAGCUGCAAAGGAAAAGGUAAGAUGAUGCAUCCAGAUAUUCAAGAUUUUGACAGUUGAGGAUUUCCCCUCAUGGUCAUAUAGAUUCAGUAUCUAGUGUCCACACUUAAAUUCCAAGUUAUGUAAAUUCUUAUAGCAGAUGGAGGAAAAGAUGUCUGUUCACACCUAUGUCCUAACUACUAAGCAGGGCUUCAAAACAAACUAGGUAAAGAGGAAAUACCUGCAUCGGUUCUUUCUUAAGAUAACAAAAACAUGCCUGAUGGUGGGGGAAAUGGAGUUAUUUUCAUA